rnacentral:rRNA from 1 species
GACGAACGCUGGCGGCGUGCUUAACACAUGCAAGUCGAGCGAUGAAGCACCUUCGGGUGUGAAUUAGCGGCGAACGGGUGAGGAACACGUGAAGAAUCUGCCUUCAACUCUGGGAUAACUCCGGGAAACCGGGGCUAAUACCGGAUAUGAGCCUUGAUCGCAUGAUCGGGGCUGGAAAGUUUUUCGGUUGAAGAUGACUUCGCGGCCUAUCAGCUUGUUGGUGAGGUAAUGGCUCACCAAGGCGACGACGGGUAGCCGGCCUGAGAGGGCGACCGGCCACACUGGGACUGAGACACGGCCCAGACUCCUACGGGAGGCAGCAGUGGGGAAUAUUGCACAAUGGGCGCAAGCCUGAUGCAGCGACGCCGCGUGAGGGAUGAAGGUCUUCGGAUUGUAAACCUCUUUCAGUAGGGACGAAGCGAAAGUGACGGUACCUAAAGAAGAAGCACCGGCUAACUACGUGCCAGCAGCCGCCGUAA